ACAUACGACCAUACCCACUGGAGAACUCGGGAUCCCGUCCGCUCUCCCAUAGAUAAGCCAGUGAGGGCCGGAUCAGUAGUUGGGUCGGUGACGACCAGCGAAUACCUGGUGUUGUAUGUU
rfam:Colletotrichum orbiculare MAFF 240422 contig01768, whole genome shotgun sequence.